GACAAAGUAGCCAAGUGGUUAAGGCAGUGGACUUCUAAUCCAUUGUACUGUGCAUGUGUGGGUUUGAAUCCCAUCCUUGUCA
rfam:Patagioenas fasciata monilis isolate BTP2013 Sc31e1R_42, whole genome shotgun sequence.